rnacentral:rRNA from 1 species
GACGAACGCUGGCGGCGUGCUUUAUACAUGCAAGUCGAACGAUGAAGUUCCUUCGGGAAUGGAUUAGUGGCGAACGGGUGAGGAACACGUGAGAAACCUGCCUUUCAUUCUGGGAUAACACCGGGAAACCGGUGCUAAUACCGGAUACUCCGUCUUGGCGGCAUCGCCGAGCCGGGAAAAAAUUUUGAUGAAAGAUGGUCUCGCGGCCUAUCAGCUAGUUGGUGAGGUAAUGGCUCACCAAGGCGACGACGGGUAGCCGGCCUGAGAGGGCGACCGGCCACACUGGGACUGAGACACGGCCCAGACUCCUACGGGAGGCAGCAGUAGGGAAUAUUGGGCAAUGGGCGCAAGCCUGACCCAGCGACGCCGCGUGAGGGAUGAAGGUCUUCGGAUUGUAAACCUCUUUCAGUAGGGAAGAAGCGAAAGUGACGGUACCUAAAGAAGAAGCACCGGCUAACUAUGUGCCAGCCGCCGCCGUAAUAC